AGAUACCCUGGUAGUCCACGCCCUAAACGAUGUCAACUGGUUGUUGGGGGAGUGAAAUCCCUUAGUAACGAAGCUAACGCGUGAAGUUGACCGCCUGGGGAGUACGGUCGCAAGAUUAAAACUCAAAGGAAUUGACGGGGACCCGCACAAGCGGUGGAUGAUGUGGAUUAAUUCGAUGCAACGCGAAAAACCUUACCUACCCUUGACAUGUCCAGAAUCCUGCUGAGAGGUGGGAGUGCCCGAAAGGGAAUUGGAACACAGGUGCUGCAUGGCUGUCGUCAGCUCGUGUCGUGAGAUGUUGGGUUAAGUCCCGCAACGAGCGCAACCCUUAUCAUUAGUUGCUACGCAAGGGCACUCUAAUGAGACUGCCGGUGACAAACCGGAGGAAGGUGGGGAUGACGUCAAGUCCUCAUGGCCCUUAUGGGUAGGGCUUCACACGUCAUACAAUGGUCGGUACAGAGGGUUGCCAAGCCGCGAGGCGGAGCCAAUCCCAGAAAGCCGAUCGUAGUCCGGAUUGUUCUCUGCAACUCGAGAGCAUGAAGUCGGAAUCGCUAGUAAUCGCGGAUCAGCAUGUCGCGGUGAAUACAUUCCCGGGUCUUGUACACACCGCCCGUCACACCAUGGGAGUGGAAUCUGGCAGAAGUAGGUAGCCUAACCGCAAGGAGGGCGCUUACCACGCUGGGUUUCAUGACUGGGGUGAAGUCGUAACAAGGUAGCCGUAGGGGAACCUGCGGCUGGAUCACCUCCUU
rnacentral:rRNA from 1 species